AUUGAACGCUGGCGGCAGGCCUAACACAUGCAAGUCGAGCGGAUGAAGGGAGCUUGCUCCUGGAUUCAGCGGCGGACGGGUGAGUAAUGCCUAGGAAUCUGCCUGGUAGUGGGGGAUAACGUCCGGAAACGGGCGCUAAUACCGCAUACGUCCUGAGGGAGAAAGGGGGGGAUCUUCGGACCUCACGCUAUCAGAUGAGCCUAGGUCGGAUUAGCUAGUUGGUGGGGUAAAGGCCUACCAAGGCGACGAUCCGUAACUGGUCUGAGAGGAUGAUCAGGCACACUGGAACUGAGACACGGUCCAGACUCCUACGGGAGGCAGCAGUGGGGAAUAUUGGACAAUGGGCGAAAGCCUGAUCCAGCCAUGCCGCGUGUGUGAAGAAGGUCUUCGGAUUGUAAAGCACUUUAAGUUGGGAGGAAGGGCAGUAAGUUAAUACCUUGCUGUUUUGACGUUACCAACAGAAUAAGCACCGGCUAACUUCGUG
rnacentral:rRNA from 1 species